rnacentral:tRNA from 1 species
CCGACCAUAGCUCAGUUGGUAGAGCGGAGGACUGUAGAGUUGCAGGUAUCCUUAGGUCACUGGUUCGAAUCCGGUUGGUCGGA